GAUGAACGCUGGCGGCGUGCCUAAUACAUGCAAGUCGAGCGAACAGAUGAGGAGCUUGCUCCUCUGACGUUAGCGGCGGACGGGUGAGUAACACGUGGAUAACCUACCUAUAAGACUGGGAUAACUUCGGGAAACCGGAGCUAAUACCGGAUAAUAUAUUGAACCGCAUGGUUCAAUAGUGAAAGACGGUUUUGCUGUCACUUAUAGAUGGAUCCGCGCCGCAUUAGCUAGUUGGUAAGGUAACGGCUUACCAAGGCGACGAUGCGUAGCCGACCUGAGAGGGUGAUAGGCCACACUGGAGCUGAGACACGGUCCAGACUCCUACGAGAGGCAGCAGUAGGGAAUCUGACGCAAUGGGCGAAAGCCUGACGGAGCAGGGGCGCGUGAGUGAUGAAGGUCUUCCGUUCGUAAAACUCUGUUAUUAGUGGAGAACAAAUUUGUAAGUAGCUAUGCACGUCUUGACGGUACCUAAUCAGAAAGCCCCGGCUAACUACGUG
rnacentral:rRNA from 1 species